ensembl:lncRNA
CUGCAGGUGGAUGUCAGGAUACUGGUGGCACUAAUUGGUCUUAAUAGCCCUGAACAGCUUCACCUGAGACCUCCACCCCACACCCAUAGCCAAGUUCAGCUGUAGGACCUAUUUCAGUUCAGCCUGUAAGGUUGUUCUCUGGUUUGGGCCUAAUUGGAGGCUCUGCUGGGCUAUGACCCACAGUUUGGACUUGGAAUGUGCUUUGCCACCAUAAGCUGACAAGAUUUGGGCCCUUGGUUGAACCUGGCUGCUGAGUCCUGCUCUGCUCUGCUACUGUGGGACAGAGCCGCUGCUUUGCUCAUAUCCUGCCUUGUCUGUACAGAGAUAGAUGAGGUUAUUGGCACAGAUGGACUUGGACUGCUAAGCUGCUUUUCUCUGGUGUCCUGCCAUGGCAUGGAUGCCUCUUGUAUCACAUAAUAAUUGAGUUUGGAAGAGAUAUCUGGAGGCAAUCUGGUCCAGCCUCACGCUCAGCCAGGGUCUCCUGGGUGGUUGCCCACAACCCAAUCAUAGCUGUCUGGAAAGUGCACAAUGAAUGGUUGGGCUCCGUGGGUAUCAAAUGCUGUGGCAGGAGCACCAGGCACCAAGUCAAAAGACAGAAUGUGGGAUAACUCCUGCCUUCCCUUUCCCAUGAAGAUGGAAAAGCUCCUCCAUGGUGGGAACUGGAGCGAUGGAUGAACAAGGAGGCCUUCCCUCCCCUUCAGAAUGUGGGUUGCCACCGGAGCUAUUUGGAGAUUGUCGCUGCUUGUUUUGGCCCCGACUUGAGUGCUUUGGCCACCACCUUGCUCAGGUGGCUAUUUUUGGUCUUGCCAGGAAUGGACUUCCUGAAGGGUGAAAUGAUGGAGGAGAGAAAAUAAACUUCAUGUUUUCUGAGCUG